GCCAGCCAGAUGGUCGCAAGUUGCCUGUUGUGGGCAAUUUGAGGAAAGUCCGGGCUUCACAGAACAGGGUGCCUGUUAACUGCAGGUGAAGGUGACUUUAAGGAAAGUGCAACAGAAAAUUACCGCCAACUUUGUUGGUAAGGGUGAAAAGGCGGGGUAAGAGCCCACCGCUUGGACGGAGACGUUCAAGGCACAUGUAAACCCCACCCGAAGCAAGGUUAAAAGAAGAACAUGGGUUGUUCGCCCUUCUUCUUAAAAACACCGCUCGAGCAUAUUGGAAACAAUAUGCCUAGAUAGAUGACCAUCAAAUACAGAACUCGGCUUACAGACUGACUGA
rnacentral:RNase_P_RNA from 1 species